AAAUCGUCGGAUGAGAGAGCCUCGUGAUUUAUCUCCGGUUCAUAUUAUACGUUUCCGUUCACGAUAUUCGCUUCAAAUUUGUUCCCUCAUUUUCGCGACAUGUGUUUAUACGAAAUGUGUUCAAGUAUGAAGUAAUACGAGGUGGCAAGUGGCAAACUCUUAUUUAUGUUUGCUGUCAUAUUUAUAGGCUAAAGCGACACAACGGCAUUCGCUGUCAUAUUUAUAGGCUAAAGCGGUACGACUAUAUACAACGUGCUUAAAUCAAGGAUUCCGUCCUCGGGGAGGAGGCUCCAGUCAGUAAUCUUUCUCAUCCCACUUUAUGAGGAGGCUGUGACACGGAGUCAUCCGCAGACAGAAUGUAUGUGAUCCAUCGUAUUAAGUUCAUUUGCAACACUCGAACUGGCACGCUACAACUACGUAGCAGGUUUCGACAGGUUGGAUUGAUGAUUUAUUAUACAGAUACGCGUUUUGUAUUUGAUGCUUUUAGCAUCGUUAAUUCAAAAAAUCCUGCCCUCGUCGCACGAGGAAAUAUUGAUAUACCGGAAAGAUUAGAAAGAAAUUGAAAAUUAUGAGCGAGCACGUUGUGAAGUUUGUCUGAUGUUAAUUUUUACCGUCGCGCCGUCGAUCCCGCCUUCAAUUUUCGUUUCGUGCGAAAACAAUUUAUCACACUACCGUGCUCCCUUCGCCACGGCGGAAAUCACGACGAACGGCGGGUGAUUAGUGGGCGAUCGGUCGAUCGCAACCGUCGAUUUUUCUCAUCCUACCGCCACGCCGCCGUACCUACGGAAUUCUCUUUGUCAGCUGGAACAGUUCAAAGAAAAGUUUUCAAACAGCGUAAGCUGCCGGAGGAAUGCGAUCGUGCAGACACUAAGCAACAAAAGCAGCAUCCCAGAACCUUGUUAAGCUAGAACAUCAAAGUACGGUAAACUUAAUUUGGACUGCAGAGGACAACGAGGGUGCAUACAUAUAGAGAUCAACAUUCUACUUGAUAAUUCCGCAGAAAUAACAUCGAUGGAAAAAAAUUAUUUUCACAACGUGAAGAAUUUAAAAUUCUAAGCAAUAAUUAAAGGUAAUUGAAAUUUAAUGUUUGCAAAUACAUCUUUUAUUCGUACUUUCAAUCUGAUGCUUUCAUCGAAAUUAAUUUAUAAUCGGGGGUGCCCUCUCCUGAGAUCUUUAAAUUUCAGAUCCCCGAGAUAGGUUCCGGGGAUUCAGGAGCGGAUUCUGCCGAAUCCACUCGCGUUUCGAGAACUCGAAAAUCUCAGCGGGCCCCCCGUCGCGUCAUCGGCGCAAGGAAUCCUCGAAUUUCAUUAUUCAGAUGAGCAUCGUUCCGUGACUGAUCGAUCGCGAGGCAAAGUGAGUGCAGAAUUACAUGAAUAAUCUAUGUCGCCCUGAGUGCCGGAUCCUCCUCUUUGAGGCUUUCAGGCCAUAUCGCCUUUGAGCCAAUUCAUCCACUUCCGGCAGAGCUGGGCGCCUCCUUACGUAUCAUUCUCUUCGAUUUUCUCGCGCUACUUUUCGGCUCUCUCCGUUUGGCACGACUCUGAGAUAUAGGGUAUCUCGUCUAAUGCAAAGAACAAACCUUUCUAUUCGUUAUUUCGCGAUCGUAUUUUCGUAAUUAUAAAAUAACGUUUCUUUCGUUUCAUUAUAACAUAUUUCAAAACAAUUCGUUAUGUAGAACAUAAUAAAAUUAUUAUACAUCAUCUUGUUGUUGUCAUUUAUAGAUACGUAUAUAUUGGC